AACGGAAUGCUUGGAUAGCGGCGGACGGGUGAGUAACGCGUAGGUAACCUGCCCUUCACACAGGGAUAGCCUCGGGAAACCGGGAUUAAUACCUGAUAAUGCGAUCGGAUCACAUGGUUUGAUCGCCAAAGAUUUAUCGGUGAAGGAUGGACCUGCGUCUGAUUAGCUGGUUGGUGAGGUAACGGCCCACCAAGGCAACGAUCAGUAGCCGACCUGAGAGGGUAAUCGGCCACAUUGGAACUGAGACACGGUCCAAGCUCCUACGGGAGGCAGCAGUGGGGAAUAUUGCACAAUGGGCGCAAGCCUGAAUGCAGCAACGCCGCGUGAGUCGAAGAAGGUCUUCGGAUCGUAAAGCUCUGUCCUGAGGAACGAAGAAGUGACGGUACCUCGGGAGGAAGCCCCGGCUAACUACGUGCCAGCCGCCGC
rnacentral:rRNA from 1 species